rnacentral:rRNA from 1 species
GGGAACUGAAACAUCUAAGUACCCGGAGGAGGAGAAAACAAAAGUGAUUCCGUGAGUAGUGGCGAGCGAAAGCGGAUUAGUCCAAACCAUAACUGUUUCGGCAGUUGUGGGGUUGUAGGACCACGAUAUUGGAUGCGCGAUGAACUGGAACCCUUUGGAAAGAGGGGCCGUAGACGGUGAUAGCCCGGUACAGGCAAAGGACGUUAUCCAUAGUGGUAUCCUGAGUAGCGCGGGGCACGUGAAACCCUGUGUGAAUCCGGCGGGACCAUCCGCCAAGACUAAAUACUCCUGAGAGACCGAUAGUGAACCAGUACCGUGAGGGAAAGGUGAAAA